rnacentral:rRNA from 1 species
ACGCUCGACACCUACGAGGCAGCAGUGGGGAAUAUUGCACAAUGGGGGAAACCCUGAUGCAGCGACGCCGCGUGAGCGAAGAAGUAUUUCGGUAUGUAAAGCUCUAUCAGCAGGGAAGAAAAUGACGGUACCUGACUAAGAAGCCCCGGCUAACUACGUGUCAGCAGCCGCGGUAAUCUGAGCGGGCUGGCAAGGC